UUCUUAAUAAUUUUUCCCAAUAUCUGACUCUCCGACGUCGUCAAACAGCUCCGCCGUUCUCCCCCUUCCGCCCUAAUUUUCAGUCAAUAAUUAGUCGAAAUUUAGGGUUGUUUUGUGGUGGUGGCACAUGGCGAACGGCGGAGAGGACGGUGGUCGGCCGGAUUUCGAUCUUCCCGAAGAGAUAUUAUCGGUGAUCCCCACAGACCCCUACGAUCAGCUGGAUCUGGCGCGUAAGAUCACGUCCAUGGCGAUCGCGUCGCGCGUCACCAAGCUCGAGACCGAGGCCGGUAGCUUCCGCCAAAAGCUUCAAGAGAAGGACCGCCUUAUUCAGCAGCUUGAGGAUAAGGUCGCGCAACUCGACGGCGCCUAUCAGGACGCCGAGUUCCGCUUGAAAAUUACGCGCGAAGAUAAUAUGAAACUAUUGAAGGAAAGAGAUUCGUUGGCUAUGACAGCAAAGAAGCUCAGUCGUGACUUGGCCAAGCAAGAGGCGUUUAGGAGGCAACUCAUGCAGUCAUUAAAUGAAGAAACUUCAACAUCAGAAACUGUUGACAUUGGAACUUAUGACCAAUCAGUGCCCAGGGUUUACGCCACAAAUGAUGAUUCAAAUGGCUAUAUGAAACAUAAUUCUUAUAGCGGUUCAACUGACAAUGCGAGCACAACUGAUGAAGUUUCUACACAAGCUGGGAAAAAGUUCUCUCUUACACCCUACAUAACUCCUCGUUUCACUCCUACUGGAACUCCAAAGGUGAUUUCCUCUAGUGUAUCCCCGAGAAGGUACUCAGCUGCUACCUCUCCUCAGAAAACCUCUGGUACUACUUCUCCUUCUGCGAACUAUGACGGAAAAGGAUCCUAUUCGUCUUGGUUUCCUUCCAGCCAGCAGUCGUCAGCAGCCAACUCUCCUCCUCGGGGACGCCCACUGCCAGGUCGUACUCCUCGAAUCGAUGGUAAAGAGUUCUUCCGUCAAGCAAGGAGUCAGUUAUCACUUGAGCAAUUCAGCGCAUUUCUGGCAAAUAUAAAGGAAUUAAAUGCACAAAGGCAGUCGCGGGAAGAGACACUGAGAAAGGCGGAAGAGAUUUUCGAUACAGACAAUAAGGAUCUAUUUGUAUCAUUUCAAGGGUUGCUAAACCGCAACGCUCACUAAGAAGGAAUGACGUGAUUGUUGCUUCGUGCUCAAAUUCUCCCCCCUCCUCGUGGGAGAUGUAUUGUCCGAUUUUAGCAGCUGAAGUAUGAAAAGUUAAGAUGCCGGAGAGGCUCCAAGUGGGCAGCAAAAACUGCAAAGCUGAUUGAUUUCUGAUGAUUAUUCUUACAAUGGUAUCUGCUUCUCUUUUGAUUUAAUAAAAGUUUGUAUUCAUUUUAUAAUAUCUUUUCAUCUUUUUUGUGCUUCUAAAC